UGGAAGAAUCGCUAACACCGAUGGCA
rnacentral:miRNA from 1 species